CUAUUUUGAGGUUCCUCUGCACAUCUGCCAUCAAACAUGCCAAGGUCACCGCCUCUGCAAACCUACAGGGACAUCAAUACAAGAGGGGGACCUGCAGAUGUUAGGAGGGCCGGAUGCACUCACUCACACAGACGGGCCAAAAUACUUUCAGCCAGGCUCCAGUGUGGAGAAGGUGCAUGUACUGCAGCAGGAAGGUGUGCAGGAUGUAAUCCUCAUCUUCACUAAGAGUUAUCAAUGUACAGGCAACUUCACUCCCUGCCCUGGUGUUUCCCCACUGUGGUGAUUGUCGUCCCCGCCCCUCAUUGUUUCCACCUGUGUCCCAGUACCUCGUGUAUAAAUAUAUAUAAUAAAUAUAUUAUAUAUUUUAUAUAUUUAAAAAAAAAUGGCAUUGUAACAUGUAUAUAAGUCUGCAUCUCCCUUUGUCAUGUGCCAGAUUGUCGUGUCUUGUACAGUCGUAUCCACAUUGUCAAGUCUUUCUGUCUAGGUCAGUGAAAUUAGUCCUUAGAGGUUUUCUAGCGCUGCUGGGUUUUGUGUUUCUGUCUUUAGAGUUUUUCCAGCGUUGCUGUGAUUUUUCGUUUGUACUUUGUUUUAAUUACUCUAAUAAAGAGCCUUUUUUUGUGA